GCGAUUCACAAUUUCCUUUCGCAAGUCAGGCUGGAGUUAAUGGCUCUUUCCUGCAGCGGCGGAGAUGCCCACAGUGCUGAGCAGGCAGUUUGAAAGCCCCACUUCCUGUCUCUGCAUGGACGCGUGUCCACUGGAAGCCACUGAGAGGAAGGAGGGAAACCUCAGAAACCGGCCCCUGCCUGGCUGCUUCACCCUAGAAAGCCCAGGCAGAGGAGGGAAAGGUGACAUGUUGAAAAAGAAUAAAAAAAGGGGAACAUGAAAAGAGCAAGAGCAGGAGGCAGGGACAGGUAAGGAGGGGAAGCACGGGAAGGAGCCAGUGUCAAGGAGGAGAAAAGAUGGCUGGUGGAAAGGAGCUUCCAGGAAUUGGGACACAGCCCUGUCUUGUUGCAAAAGAUGGAAACCCUGAAGGAGAAUACAUUCUUACCUCCUCUUUCCUCGUGAGUCAGUCCUGAAGGACAAGCUGCCUGAAGUCCCACACAGAUGGGUCUGGGACAAGCGUCAAACAUCCUGGGGGCCCUGGGUGUGGUUUGCUUUUAAAUUCCAGGUCAGGGAAAGGAAAGUCUAAGUUGUCUGCUCUAAGCUCAGUAAUAAUCCCCCUCAGAGCUAUGGGCGCGGUGUCUGGGGUAGCCGCUACAUCUCUGGGCAAAUACCCUGGAGAAUGCAACGCUGGUUGUCUGAGCUGGGGACAGAGUGACAGCAUAGUUGCAUGCAGAGCUGGAGGCUUCUGCAGCUGUACAGGGACCUACAGAAAAUAUGUGGUACCUCGGCAGCCUGGCCUGCAGCUCUCCCCUCCCCAUCAGAGAGUCCUGCUACAGCAGGUCCAGGUGUCUGGAUGCCCUGCAAGCACGGCUCUCUGCAGACCUCUGGACACUACCAUGGGAGCCGCACAGUCCCUGCCUGUUCUGUCUGGCAGUUCUUGUUUCCCAGCACCCGCUCUCAGACAGUCAGGGGCUUCUGUGCAUCCAAGGAGCUCCUCCUCACAGAAGGACGCAGGCCAUUACUGAGACCCAAUCCAGCUCCAACCUCCUGGUAACAAUUAGGACAUCACUUCGCUGAGCAACAGCUUCCUGCCUGUCCACGAGUUAUCAAGACAUUCCAAUUGUUCCUCCACAUCAUUGGCAUGAAGAGUUGAGGGGGUCAGAUUUUCCAGGGGGCUUGAUGGCAAGUUCUCUUCACUGUUCCCUGCUCUGGUCACCCAGGUGACCCUGGGCAGGGAAGAGGCCCCGAGUUGCAGAAUCUCUGUUCUCACAAUCCAUUGCCACCCUGAAGAGCUGCUUUGCCACUAUUCCUAGGAUGCCGUUGGCUAUUUCAGGAAAGGAAGCGUUUGACUUUUCCCUUUGCAGUGAUUUCUGCAAGGAAAGGAAUUGAGAGACUCAAGUCCCUGAGAUAAAUAUUCAUCAACUAUUACUGAAAGGGAGCAUGUCAAAGAAAAAAUGUGGAGAAACUUCAGCUGGAACACAUAGUUUAAAUCCAGCUUGGUGUAGUCCAGUGGGCAUGGAGGUAUCAUUGUUUUGCAGUGCAUUCUUCUAUGAUCAAUACACAAAAGCAAACGGGCCACGCUGGCAAACAGUAAUUUUCAUUUACCAGGGUAAAUAUGGAAGUCCUCUUAUUCCCAUGUCAUGGUGAAGAAAGCAAGGACCAUCCUUUGCCAAGGGAUAGUGGCUGUGGGGGAACUGAGGAGAUGGAAGGACAAGGCAGUCAAAAACUUUUGGAGCACUUUUUUUUUGAGAUGGAGUUUUGCUCUUGUUGUCCAGGCUGGAAUGCAAGGCUGGAAUGCAAUGGCGUGAUCUUCGCUCACCACAACCUCUGCCUCCCAGGUUCAAGUGAUUCUCCUGCCUCAGCCUCCCGAGUAGCUGGGAUUACAGGCAUGCGCCACCAUGCCUGGCUAAUUUUGUAUUUUUAAUAGAGAUGGGAUUUCUCCAUGUUGGUCAGCUGGUCUCGAACUCUUGACCUCGGGUGAUCCACCCACCUUGGCCUCCCAAAGUGCUGGGAUUAUAGACGUGAGCCACCGCGCCCAGCCCUUUUCUGGAAUAACUUUUACAGGUUUUCAAACUAUUACACUUGCGUUUUCAUAGGAGAGAGGACAUAGUCACUGAACAAUUGCUGCAGAUUUGAAGUAAGUCCAGGAUGGGAUGACAAUGAAACAACCACGAAAUGAAAGGAAGAAUGUGUCACUGAUAUGUCCACACGUCUCCAAAUCUCUCACCUCUGUCAGCUGCAAACAGAGCCUGAAAUAAAUGUUUCCUCCGUGCACAGCCUCCGCAACUUCCUCCCUCCACGUUUCUCACUCACUCCUCUCCAGCACUUCUCUCCUGGUUCUGCUUGCAAACUUGAAACCAGCUUUGCAAAAAUUAUAACUGAGGAAAUUAUGACAAUGAAAGAGAUCAGACCUAACUGACUCCAUCUUGCUUCUAACCUUUAAGCUGUCCUUGUUCAUUUUUGGGCUGAACUAACUUUGGGAAGGAAUUCAGUUCAUGGUAUAACUCUGAAACAAAAUUGACAAUAGCCCUUUCUUGAAAAGACCCCCUUCUUUCCUGGGGACCAGUUUGCCUUUGCAGGACUAACAAAUUAACUACAAGAUUAGAAAUUAAGGUUUAGGGCUCAUGCAGCCUCUGGCUGCGAGAGUCUGAAGCUCCCCAGAUUGCUCCUGGGGAUAACAUCACUAUUGCAAAACCCAAGAUCAGAGCUUGAGAUAUUUCGUAGACCCUGCUCUGGAUAGAUCGGCUGACAUCAUCCAGACCAGUAAUCUGGCCCAACCAGCUCUGCCAUCCCAUCCAGGAACAGAAGAAAAACUCACUUCAACCCGCUAUGAGUCCAUCUCCAACCUGACCAAUCAGCACUCCCUAUUUCCCGGGCCCCUACUUGCCACAUCUGCCUUUGGAGGCAGGUAACAACUUAUCUUUAAGAACUCCGAUCCCUGAGUGCUCAGGACACUGAUUGAAGUAAUAAUAAAACUCCGGUCUUCUGCACAGCCGGCUCUGCGUGAAUUACUCCUUUCCCAUUGCAAUUCUCUUGUCUUGAUAAAUCGGUUCUGUCUAGGCAGCAGGCAAGAGGAACCCAUCGGGCGGUUACAAACUUAUCCUCUGUGGAAGAGUAGGAGUUCACGGAGAAAUUGGUUUCAAAUUACAAAAUUUUAUUGUGAGGUCCACUUGUCCCAGUGUCUAUCUGUGCAGUGAAGGGCCUCUGUGUGGUGUAGUGAUUGCAAGUUGGGUCUCUAGGGUCAGGUUGUCUAGGUU
ensembl:lncRNA